AACGCACCUUGCGCUCCCUAGUAUUCUGGGGAGCAUGUCUGUUUGAGUGUCAUGAACUCUUCAACCCACUAGUUUCUUGUAGACUAGCUGGUGUUUGGAUUUUGAACGUUGCUGGUCUUCGGACGUAGCUCGUUCGUAAUACAUUAGCAUCUCUAAUUCGAAUUCGGAUUGACUCAGUGUAAUAGACUAUUCGCUGAGGACACUUUUAUUAGUGGCCGAACAAGAUCAUUGUAGAAGCUUCGAACCUCUAUAGUCAAUUUUAGAUUAGACCUCAGAUCAGGCAGGAUUACCCGCUGAACUUAA
rnacentral:misc_RNA from 2 species